GAGUGAGAAGAACGUUUUAAUUCAAAAUCCAUAUUAAGCAUCAGUCGAAAGUAAACCUUUUCGAUGUAAUUUCAAAAAUAAAUAUUCCACCAAAAAAAGAAAAGUGCCAUAGCGGUUAACACAUACGUAAGUAAUGCACCAUAAUGUCCCGGUAUUAGUCAAAUGAAUGAAAAAAUGUGAAAGUAACAGAUGAAAAAGAGUGAAAAGCAUAUACUGAAGAAAAUGAUAGAGAGGCGAUUAAGUAAUCGAGGAAAACAGAAGGAAAGCAGACCAAAAAUUAAAAAGACAGCUACAGAUAGAAAAUCUGAAGAUAUUAUAGUCGCGUAUCGAAAAGUUCUCCGGUUGAGUUGAAAAUUCAAUCGGAUUUCUAUGGAGGCGUGUAACAGCGGUGUGGCUUUAUUUCCAUGCGUGCGACCCUAUUCAAGGUGAAUAUUCACAGCACGCACAGGAAUUCAGCCGAGGUAGCUUUUUUUAUUAUUAUAUGCAGCAGUGGUGCCCGUGCAGGUCGGCCUUAUUACAUUAGCUCGGCAAGAUGUUACGUUAGCGCACAGAUUCGCGAGUUGCUCUGACAAUCCUUAUCUCUAAGUUAAUAUGAAACCGAAGCGUUGCAACAAAUUUUACAUGUUAAGAACACUCGUGACGAGUUGGAAGGUUCGACUAGGAACAAUACUACGUACAGUAGAGAAGAGUGUGCAGUGUGACAUUUAACUCGCUUCGGCAACUCCUGAAAGAAAUAUGUUACAUGAAGAAAAGGAAAAACACAGUCUAAGGAGGCAAUUCGACGAAUUAAUAGAAUGACCCAGCAGCUGGAUAAGGGGGAUAGCGCGAACAUCAUGUGUUCCCAAGUGCAAACACGAGACAAGUAAAACUACAUGGAGGUAGUAGAAUGAGAGAGAGAGAGAGAGAGAGAGAGAGAGAGAGGAGAUUCUGUAAGAGUAAGAAGAAAGAAAAAAAUUAGUGGGCUGAGAUGAAGUGAAAAAUAAAAAUAGAGAAACAAAUAAAACGAGUAGACAGUGUAUCUCGAGCGUGGGUGGAUAAUAAAAUGGAAAAUUUGCAAUGGUAAAAA